rnacentral:lncRNA from 1 species
AGAGCUUAAGCUCCUUCAUUAUCUUUAGAGACGAGUGCUUAUCGCUUCCAGACACGCUCUCUCUCCUUUCCGGCACAGUGAUUACAAAUGGCAGCAAGAUAUUCAUCUCUCGUCUCAUCUCAAAAGCCAGUGGAAAGUCUUCCGGAGAACCUGUCCAUCUGUCUUCGGGUUUAACCUCAGACUAGUCAUCGUCUGCCAACAAUAGCCGAGGUCAGAUAGAAAGAAAGAAUAAUGUCUUGGCACAAAACAUCGAGACAGGCUGUCUCUUCUUUCCGGCUCAGUGAUUACAAAUGCCAGCGAGAUGUUCAUCUCUCGUCUCAUCUCAAAAGCCAAUGAAAUGUCUUCCGGAGAACGGUCCAUCUGUCUUCGGGUUUAACCUCAGACUAGUCAUCGUCUACCAGCAACAGCUUUCGAUAGCCGAGGUCAGAUAGAAAGAAAGAAUAAUAUCUUGGCACAAAACAUCAAGAAAGAAAAUAUCCUAAUGUCACAGCAGAUGUAAGGUGCUGAAAAUGAUGGAGAGGCAGUGUGGACACUAUUCUUCAUCUAUUUCCUACAUGCAGGGCAAAGUCAAGUUAUUUAAAAGAAACUAUAGUGAUAAUAAUACUUAUGAAUAAUAACGUGGAUUUUGUAAAAUUAACUUAAGUAUCAAGUUGUUCAAUCUGAGAAUACAAAACAUGAAGGCAUUUGAAACAAUCUGAACAAUGAGAUCAAUCAACUGAGUUCCUUUAUUUUGCUUUAUCUUUUAAGAACUGCUUUGACUCUGCAAACAUUACAUAUUAAAGUGUAACAUAACAUUUACUGUAAGGGAUAACAUUAAUAGACCAUGCUUAAACAUCAUGGAGUUAAAACAUUACUAUUAAUCCUCCAAUGAAUUUUUUUGCAGAAAAUGCAGACAACAGAUGCAGCGUUAAGUUUGAUGGACAGGGCGUCAGGAGAGGGAGCUGUACUGUUGAAGAAAAUGCCAUUAUAGAGAAAAGGGAACUCUGCUUUGCGUCAUAAAAAAAUCAAGAGCAGGGAGAAGAAGGUGUGUGAAUGGUGACUACAGGAAUUUUACUGCGAAUCUUCAAAGGACUACACAUACGAGGUAACGCAGCCCAAGAACUUUUGUAUAUUUGUAAACAUGACAACAAGAUGUGUGACCUCUGGAUAAUUCAUUCUGCACAUACUACAUGAGAACACAUUUAAUGCAAUGUUUCUUAGUUUAACUACUUGUUCCACUAUACUCUUCAGUGCUUAUCUAAUAAAUAUUAGCAAAUAGUAAAAUUUCCUUGAGGAUUUCACAGUCUUUCUAAAACAAUAUUGAUCAUAUUGUACUCUGAUACAGACUAAGUGAGCUCAAUGUUAUUACCCACAGAUAUAAUCUUGAGGGAUACAUUUUAAAAACAAUGAAUUAUCCUAUUUUAUCAACAGCAUAUUUUACACUGACAGGUUAAACCUAUGAUGUUAUCAGUUUACAUACAAGAAAUGGCUUGUUAUUGCUAUGCUUUAUCUUUUUGUCUUUUGUGUGAGGAAGGGAGAUGUGUGUGGGAGGAAAAAAUAUUGGAUUAUGUCAGGCACAACAACAGGUCACAGUUCAGUGUUUGACCUCGCGCUGAUCCUCACAUUUACACUGAAACAGAUCACCUACAGAAAUAAAUGUACUCUCAUUUCAAGGAAAA